UCCCUGGUAGCUUAUGUGGUAAAGAAUCUGCCUACAAUGCAGGAGACCCUGGUUCAAUUCCAGGGUUAGGAA
rnacentral:tRNA from 1 species